UACGUAGGGGGCAAGCGUUGUCCGGAUUUAUUGGGCGUAAAGAGCGUGUAGGCGGCCUUACAGGUCAGCUGUGAAAACUCGAGGCUCAACCUCGAGACGUCGGUUGAAACCGUAUGGCUAGAGUCCGGAAGAGGAGAGUGGAAUUCCCGGUGUAGCGGUGAAAUGCGCAGAUAUCGGGAAGAACACCAAUGGCGAAGGCAGCACUCUGGGACGUGACUGACGCUGAGACGCGAAAGCGUGGGGAGCAAACAGG
rnacentral:rRNA from 1 species